CAAGGAUACUAGCGAUAGUAUCUGCGACGGUAGCAAGAAGUCAGCAGAGGACCUAGUAGUGGAGGCAAAGCUAUCCGAAACGAAGGUU
rnacentral:ncRNA from 1 species